UGGGGAAUAUUGGACAAUGGGCGCAAGCCUGAUCCAGCCAUGCCGCGUGAGUGAUGAAGGCCUUCGGGUUGUAAAGCUCUUUUGGCGGGGACGAUGAUGACGGUACCCGCAGAAUAAGCCCCGGCUAACUUCGUGCCAGCAGCCGCGGUAAGACGAAGGGGGCAAGCGUUGUUCGGAAUUACUGGGCGUAAAGGGCGCGUAGGCGGUCCGUUCAGUCAGGCGUGAAAGCCCUGGGCUUAACCUGGGAGGUGCGCUUGAUACUGUUGGGCUUGAGUGUGGGAGAGGAUGGUGGAAUUCCCAGUGUAGAGGUGAAAUUCGUAGAUAUUGGGAAGAACACCGGUGGCGAAGGCGGCCAUCUGGACCACAACUGACGCUGAGGCGCGAAAGCGUGGGGAGCAAACA
rnacentral:rRNA from 1 species